rnacentral:rRNA from 1 species
AUUGAACGCUGGCGGCAGGCCUAACACAUGCAAGUCGAACGGCAACACGAUACGACUUUCUGCUUCGCCGUCGCGUGGCGCGGGGGGGUGUGAUGUCCGGCGAACUCUACGAUUGCGGGGGGUAUCACGUAGGGACACUAACUAUAACAGCAUAUAGUCCCUACGGCAAAAAGCAGGAGCUUUGCGGCCCUUGCCCUCGUAUGUGCGCCGAUGUGGGAUUAGCUAGUUGGCGGGGUAAGGGCCCACCAAGGCGACGAUCCGUAGCUGGUCUGAGAGGAUGAUCAGCCACACUGGAACUGAGACACGGUCCAGACUCCUACGGGAGGCAGCAGUGGGGAAUAUUGGACAAUGGGCGCAAGCCUGAUGCAGCCAUGCCGCGUGGAUGAAGAAGGCCUUCGGGUUGUAAAGUCCUUUUGUCGGGGAGGAAGAGCGGAAGGUUAAUACCUUGACUCAUUGACGUUACCCGAAGAAGAAGCACCGGCUAACUUCGUG